UACGUAGGGCGCAAGCGUUAUCCGGAAUUAUUGGGCGUAAAGAGCUCGUAGGCGGUUUGUCGCGUCUGCCGUGAAAGUCCGGGGCUCAACUCCGGAUCUGCGCUGGGUACGGGCAGACUAGAGUGAUGUAGGGGAGACUGGAAUUCCUGGUGUAGCGGUGAAAUGCGCAGAUAUCAGGAGGAACACCGAUGGCGAAGGCAGGUCUCUGGGCAUUAACUGACGCUGAGGAGCGAAAGCAUGGGGAGCGAACAGG
rnacentral:rRNA from 1 species